rnacentral:rRNA from 1 species
GAUGAACGCUAGCGGCAGGCUUAAUACAUGCAAGUCGUCGGGCAGCGCAGUGUAGCAAUACAUGGGCGGCGACCGGCAAACGGGUGCGUAACACGUACGCAACCUUCCCGUUACUGGGGAAUAGCCCAGGGAAACUUGGAUUAAUACCCCAUAUUAUAUUGAUUGGGCAUCUAAUUAAUAUCAAAGCUUCGGCGGUAACGGAUGGGCGUGCGGUUGAUUAGGUAGUUGGCGGGGUAACGGCCCACCAAGCCUACGAUCAAUAGCUGAUGUGAGAGCAUGAUCAGCCACACGGGCACUGAGACACGGGCCCGACUCCUACGGGAGGCAGCAGUAAGGAAUAUUGGGCAAUGGACGAAAGUCUGACCCAGCCAUGCCGCGUGGAGGAUGAAGGUCCUCUGGAUUGUAAACUUCUUUUUUCUGGGGCGAAAACCGGUUUUUCUAAACCAUUUGACAGUACCAGAAGAAUAAGCACCGGCUAACUCCGUGCCAGCAGCCGCGGUAACAC